AAAGAUUCUUGUAGGUCUUUAUCGAAAGUCUAUUAAGUUAAAGUAACCGCCGAAAGUAUUGUUUGUAAUAUAACGAAGCAAAGAAGUAAUUAAUAUGACCUUGUUAACUUUUGAAAAUAAGUAUAUUAAAAAAGUAUAAAAAAAGCUGUUAUCUUAACAGCAUGCAUAAUAGAAAUUGUACUUGUUGAUCCAAAUAAGUUACCUAUAUUAAACAAAAAAAAUAGUGACACUAUAAUUAUAUUGGAAUGAGGCAAUUAUAACACAGGAGCGCAAUGGCGAGCCACGGACUGACCGCCGCC